ACACUGAAAGGGGAGUGCAGUCACACACACCGGAACACACACUGAAAGGGGAGUGCAGUCACACACACCGGAACACACACUGAAAGGGGAGUGCAGUCACACACACCGGAACACAUUUCCCCCCUAUUUAUUUUUUUCUUAUUUUUUUCUUCCUUCUUCCACACACUCACCCUCAGGUCUCUGGUACCAGGGAAGUAUUCUCCCAGAGGACACACUCACCCUCAGGUCUCUGGUACCAGGGAAGUAUUCUCCCAGAGGACACACUCACCCUCAGGUCUCUGGUACCAGGGAAGUAUUCUCCCAGAGGACACACUCACCCUCAGGUCUCCGGUACCAGGGAAGUAUUCUCCCAGAGGACACACACACUCACCCUCAGGUCUCUGGUACCAGGGAAGUAUUCUCCCAGAGGACACACUCACCCUCAGGUCUCUGGUACCAGGGAAGUAUUCUCCCAGAGGACACACUCACCCUCAGGUCUCUGGUACCAGGGAAGUAUUCUCCCAGAGGACACACUCACCCUCAGGUCUCUGGUACCAGGGAAGUAUUCUCCCAGAGGACACACUCACCCUCAGGUCUCUGGUACCAGGGAAGUAUUCUCCCAGAGGACACACUCACCCUCAGGUCUCUGGUACCAGGGAAGUAUUCUCCCAGACACACUCAC